UACUUUCGAUUUCCGCAUUGUAAACUCACUCCCACAAUUUUCAUUAUUCCUAGUCUUCUAUUAAGAGCAACAAAAAUCCCAACUGCAAUUAAUAUAACACCCAAAGCAGAAACAACGACUAUGACUAAAAGCACAACUUGGUUGCUACUUCUCUUUCUACCCCCAUUGCUGGUUAUCAGCGAGCAUGGCAUCAAACCUGUUUGAUUGCCACAUAAUCCAUUGUUAUCUCUGUAUGCCUCAAAUGGGGCCUCUUGAAAAGCUUUUGGUGUCAGGUAGAGAACCCUUCAAGAAGUUGGAAGCUAUGUCAACAGCGGCCAAACUCGAAAAUCCCAUUGAAAGAGGAUGGAAUGAAACCGAAUAGUAUAUUGUGGGAUAGAUUUAGUUUCUCUUAGCUUUGGAAAUCCCCAAUCUGUUUGUGGUAUCUCACCUGUUGAUGAAUUGUUUCCAAGAUGAAGAUUUUGAAGAAAGAGUAAUUUGCUUAUUUCAAAAGAAAAUCCUUCUUGGAAUUGAUUUCUACUCAAAUUAAAGUAUAGUAGUUUCACACAAUGCCCCAGUUUUCUUAGAAUUGGGUUGUUUAGAUUGUUUCCCGCCUAGUUAAGAAGUUGCAGAUUAGAUAGGUUGACAAUUUCUGUUGGAAUUUUGCCUGAAAGUUUGUUAUAGCUAAGAGUAAGAUCGAACAGCGCAUCCAACUUACCUGACUACUUUGGGAUUUCCCCAACUACAUGAUUUGAGGAGAGGGCAAGUACUUGUAAUUGAGUUAGCCCUCCAAGGUCAGGCAAUAUUUUUCUAGAAAUUUUAUUGUUUGAGAUCUUUAGGCCAGUCAAGUUACGGGACUGCCCACAUUUUUGAGAAAGUUCACCAUAGAAAUUAUUGUGACUCGCAUCGAUAUGGUAUAACUUUGGGAGUACAUCAAAAACUUCUGAUAUAUUCCCUUUGAGCUGAUUUUCAGCAAGCCUAACAAGCGUAAGUUACUGCAAUUUCUCAAUGAUUUGAUUAUUCAAAUGUAAUUGUGCAUCAAUUGAAUUGCUUUUAAACAUUAUUGCCGUGCAUUCACCACAAGCUUUAAUACAAUGUAAACCUAUCUUGAUUAAAAGAUCAAAAGAGAUUUUUAAAUUCGGAUUUUAUUUCAUUUGUUACUUACUUUUCAUUUGUUACUUACAGCCUUGAGGGAGAAACUUUGAAGAAUGUGUCUUCUUCUUCAGUCCUUAAUACUCAUACAUAUUGUUGUUGAAGGUUGCACAGUUCUAGGACUGAUCUCUGUGGUUGCUAUAGUGAGUGUAAACUAUAGACAAGUGUAUCUUGGGGUUUGCAUCGAAUGUAAGGAGACGUGAAGAUCUUGGCGUGUGGACUAUUGCUGAUAAAGUUUGGUUGAGGAAUACUUGGAAGACAAAGGAACGUACUUGGAAGAUCUAUUUACUUCUCUUAGGGUUUUAAGUUGGUGGAAUAUUCGGCUUGUGGGAUCUUGUGUAAAUAAUUCAACCUUUAUUACUGGAUUUUCUUCGUAUGUGGUUUUUUCCCUGAGCUAGGGUCUUCGACAUACAAGUGGUGUACUUGUGGCUGAUAUUGUUGCUUACACUUAUUCCGCAUAACUGUUACGUUGGGAUGCUAAGAUUUCACUUGGUUUAACUAAGAAUAAUCUGGGGCUAUUAUGCGUAAAUCUGAGUGGUUGACACAGAUUUCCAUAUUUGCAAGGAUGUCCGCACACUGGUUCCCUUCCCUCGACACUUCCCUAUUUAAUGCCAUCCUUGAUCGGAUGAUUAGACAUGUCUUGGAAACUUGUAGUUGAAUCACUCAUUUUUCAGCGUAAACCCAUUCUUCGAGCAGCUCUCUAUCACAAUCUUUUAGAAACGUUUCUUCAAGGCAAUGUUUAGGCCUCUGUAUAUAGCCCAUAUCUCUGCCUCGAGACAAGAACAGUUCUCCAAUCUUCUGUAGUAGCCGCAAAUCCAUGCCCCGCUUUUGUCCCUAAAGAUACCAUCACAAUCCUGCCGACAUCUCGUUAAGCACAACCAUCCAUACUCGAGACGAGUUGGCCAAGAAUUUAAUUUGGUGCCCCAACACUGCAUUAAUAUCCCAUUAUGCCCCCCAAUUCUUUUCUCCUCCCUCCAACUGCCCCCCCUUUUUUUUUCAGUUUUGUGUUUUGUUUUGUUUUUGUUUUGUUUCUUCUUUUUUUCAUUAUUUUUAAUCAAUUUUGUUUAUUUUUUUAAUCAAAUUUAUUUAUUUUUUUAUCAGUUUUAUUUUCUUUUUGGAUAAACAGUUUUUUUUAUUAUAUGUUUGUAAUCUUUUAUUUAUUUUUUAGUUGUAGAUUUUGAGAGUCAUUAUUUAUAAAAAUUUAAAAAAGUAUAAAAAUAUGGAUCAAAAUAAAAAGUAUAUAUAUGAAAAUAACAAAAAUACUAACAAUUAAUAAGCAAACACGCUAAUAGCUUGCAAAUAAAUAUUUUUUUCAAAUGAAAAGUCUCUUAGGCCAAUAUUAAUUUAGUCAUGUUCAGGGAAAAGUAUAUGU
rnacentral:lncRNA from 1 species